rnacentral:rRNA from 1 species
GAUGAACGCUGGCGGCGUGCUUAACACAUGCAAGUCGAACGGAAAGGCUCCUGCUUGCAGGGGUACUCGAGUGGCGAACGGGUGAGUAACACGUGGGUGAUCUGCCCUGCACUUCGGGAUAAGCCUGGGAAACUGGGUCUAAUACCGGAUAGGACCACAUUUUGGAUGGUGUGGUGGAAAGUUUUUCGGUGUGGGAUGAGCUCGCGGCCUAUCAGCUUGUUGGUGGGGUAAUGGCCUACCAAGGCGUCGACGGGUAGCCGGCCUGAGAGGGUGUACGGCCACAUUGGAACUGAGAUACAGCCCAGACUCGUACGGGAGGCAGCAAUGGGGAAUAUUGCACAAUGGGCGCAAGCGUGAUGCAGCGACGCCGCGGGGGGGAUGACGGCCUUCGGGUUGUAAACUCCUUUCGGUAGGGAAGAAUCGUUUUUGUGACGGUACCUGGAGAAGAAGCACCGGCUAACUACGUG